UACGUAGGGCCAAGCGUUGUCCGGAUUUAUUGGGCGUAAAGAGCUCGUAGGCGGUUGGGUAAGUCGGGUGUGAAAACUCCAGGCUCAACUUGGAGAUGCCACCCGAUACUGCUCUGACUUGAGUUCGGUAGGGGAGUGGGGAAUUCCUGGUGUAGCGGUGAAAUGCGCAGAUAUCAGGAGGAACACCGGUGGCGAAGGCGCCACUCUGGGCCGAAACUGACGCUGAGGAGCGAAAGCGUGGGGAGCGAACAGG
rnacentral:rRNA from 1 species